GGGGGACUACCAUCGACCGCCCACCAAACAAAAAUGGUUUCCCUAUUUCACAGUACCACUGUAUGUACUCUAACGAGGGCUGCAGAUCUAAAGCACGAUCCAACUGAGGUACCCUCCCCAACCGAUUGUUCCACAUCGUAAUAUAUUCUUCAUGCACUUCUCCCCAAUCAUUUCCAUGCUUCCCUCUCCUGUUAAUCCCAUAGAUCUCCCCCAAUCGUACUGGUAGUGUAGGGAUAUACUGUAUGCAACCAAACUGCCGGAGUACAAUAUAAUCCGAAAAAAGUCAACUAAUUGUUAUAACGAGUAAAAAUUCAUCACCUAUUAACGAGUAAAAAAGUCAACUAAGUCGUAUCGCAGAUCAAAAGUCCAGAUUAAUGCUGCUGAUCCG
rnacentral:lncRNA from 1 species